AUGGAUGUGGACACACUGUACUAGGCCCUGAAAGUGGAACCCUUAUGUCCAUAAACUACCCACAGACCUAUCCCAACAGCACCGUUUGUGAAUGGGAGAUUCGUGUAAAGAUGGGAGAAAGAUUGCGCAUCAAAUUUGGUGACUUUGACAUUGAAGAUUCUGAUUCUUGUCAUUUAAAUUACUUGAGAAUUUAUAAUGGAAUUGGACUUAGCAGAACUGAAAUAGGCAAAUACUGUGGUCUGGGAUUGCAGAUGAACCAUUCAAUUGAAUCAAAAAGCAAUGAAAUUACAGUGCUGUUCAUGAGCGGAAUCCAUGUUUCUGGACGAGGAUUUUUGGCUUCAUACUCAGUUAUAGAUAAACAAGAUCUAAUUACUUGUUUAGACACUGCAUCCAGCUUUUUGGAACCUGAGUUCAGUAAGUACUGUCCAGCUGGUUGUCUGCUUCCUUUUGCUGAGAUAUCUGGAACAGUCCCUCAUGGAUAUAGAGAUUCCUCGCCAUUGUGCAUGGCUGGUGUGCAUGCAGGAGUGGUGUCAAACACCCUGGGUGGCCAGAUCAGUGUUGUAAUUAGUAAAGGUAUCCCGUACUAUGAAAGUUCUUUGGCUAACAACGUCACGUCUGUGGUGGGACACUUAUCUUCAAGUCUUUUCACAUUCAAGACGAGUGGUUGUUAUGGAACUCUGGGCAUGGAGUCUGGUGUGAUUGCCGAUCCUCAGAUAACAGCUUCAUCUGUGCUGGAGUGGACGGACCACACAGGGCAGGAGAACAGCUGGAGACCCGAAAAGGCCAGGCUGAAGAAACCGGGGCCUCCCUGGGCUGCCUUUGCCACUGAUGAGUAUCAGUGGUUACAAAUAGAUCUCAACAAGGAAAAGAAGAUAACAGGCAUUGUGACCACUGGCUCCACCAUGGUGGAGCAUAACUACUAUGUGUCAGCCUACCGAAUUCUAUACAGUGAUGAUGGGCAGAGGUGGACUGUGUACAGAGAGCCUGGUGUGGAGCAGGAUAAGAUAUUUCAAGGAAACAAAGAUUAUCACCAGGAUGUGCGUAAUAACUUUUUGCCACCAAUUAUUGCACGUUUUAUUAGAGUGAAUCCUACCCAAUGGCAGCAGAAAAUUGCCAUGAAAGUGGAGCUGCUGGGAUGCCAGUUUAUUCUUAAAGGUCGUCCUCCAAAACUUACUCAACCUCCAUCUCCUCGGAACAGCAAUGACCUCAAAAACACUACAGCCCCUCCAAAAAUAGCCAAAGGUCGUGGCCCCAAAUUUACUCAACCACUACAACCUCGCAGUCGCAAUGAAUUUCCUGCACAGACAGAACAAACAACUGCCACUCCUGAUAUAAAAAACACUACCGUAACUCCAGAUGUCACCAAAGAUGUAGCCUUGGCCGCAGUGCUUGUCCCUGUGCUGGUCAUGGUCCUCACCACUCUCAUUCUCAUAUUAGUGUGUACUUGGCAUUGGAGAAACAGAAAGAAAAAAACUGAAGGCACCUAUGAUUUACCUUACUGGGACCGGGCAGGUUGGUGGAAAGGAAUGAAGCAGUUUCUCCCGGCCAAAUCCGUGGAGCACGAGGAAACCCCCGUUCGCUACAGCAGCAGUGAAGUCAAUCACCUGAGUGCGAGAGAGGUCACCACAAUGCUGCAAACGGACUCUGCAGAGUAUGCCCAGCCGCUUGUGGGAGGAAUUGUUGGCACACUUCAUCAGAGGUCGACCUUCAAACCAGAAGAAGGAAAAGAAACAGGCUAUGCUGACCUAGAUCCUUACAACUCCCCGAUGCAAGAAGUGUACCACGCCUAUGCCGAACCACUCCCAAUUACGGGGCCUGAGUAUGCAACCCCCAUUGUCAUGGAUAUCUCGGGGCACACCCCAGCUUCAGUUGGUCUACCCUCAACGUCCACUUUCAAAGCUACAGGGAACCAGCCUCCUCCUCUAGUGGGAACAUACAACACUCUUCUCGCCAGGACUGACAGCUGCUCCUCAGCCCGGGCCCAGUAUGACACCCCAAAAGGUGGGAAGCCAGGUCCAAAUGCCCCAGAGGAAUUGGUGUACCAGGUGCCACAGAGCACACAGGAGGUGUCAGGAACAGGGAGGGAUGGUGACAGUGAUGUUUUUAAAGAAAUCCUUUGAAGGUGAUGCUGCUUUUUACAAAGCAUCGUUUUAAAGCACAUGGCCUUUUUUUUUCCCUAUUAGUGGUAGUAAUAUAUAGAAUGUAUUACAUAUCUGUCACGGAUGUAGUGGGGGACGUGUGAUGACCGAGGUACAGGAAACUACUAAUCUUGCCAUCUUGCUUUAGAAGUGUUGUUGUAGCAGUUACUGCUUGCCUGUUAAAUUUCGAACAUCCUGUUUGUUACUACUGUAAAACACUAUUUUUUAAUACAGAAAAAGCUCCCUACUAUGCACUUCAAAGAAAUUAAAAAUCACUGAAAGUAAGUAUUUAUUACCAGUGCUGCAGGUACAUUUGAUGAACUCAAUAAGGCUUUGUAAGCCUGACUGGUAAUAAUGCAUGGUACUGUUCUUGAAAUGUCUAAUGGCUUGAAAUUCUGCUUUGUGUGAAGGUGGGUACUAUCAUGAUUUCCUCCUCUUCUAUUCCUGUAUUCCUUUCUGGAUUUAAAAAAAUAAUAAUUAGUGAUACAUAAUCAUUGUUUUGAUUGCAGUCAUACACACGUAUCCAUUUUUCCUUAAGAAGAGUACAGGUGAGAAACUCCGAUUUAAUGAGCAGGGUGACUGUCACUUUUUGACACUCAGGUGCUUUGACACCCGCGGUACAUGACUUGGCCUGGUCUCUGCUUAUUCCGCCUGGGGCCUUGAUGGCCAGCCCGUUCUUGUGUUUGUAAAAUGUUUUGUUUUUUCAGUGGGUUAUACUUGCUCUAUCAAACUUCAUGAAUUCAGAUCCUCUAAUGUGUUUAAGUUUACUUCUCACUGUGGAAACAGGAACUUUGCAAUUUAAAAAAGCUAUAAAAGAGAUCCUCUCUAAAAAAGCGAUGAAAGAGAUACUCCUCCCCUCCAACUUUAUUUGCAAUGGGAUUUUUUCUAGGAGGGUUGUGAAAAGUUGAGGGCUUCCAAGUAGACGCUGUAAACAUGCCCCAUUUCUAUUUAUCACAGCAAAGGCAAAAUCAUUCUUCAGAAGUCCUGUAAAUUACCUUUAAAAAAGAUAACCAGAAUUUGCCCCCUUUUAAAAUAUGUAGAUUUUUUUUUUUUAAUCUCAAGGUAUGUUUUGGGGUUUUUUUAGUGUUUUAGUUUUCCAAAGCAAACUAUAAACUCAGUGUGUUUGUGCCUCAUCCGUGUGAGAAGGUGAGUAGUUCUUUAUCUCACACGUAGGGAAGAGGUGUUACAGCAUCCUCACACGUGGCUAUUCAUGUGUCUUUUUUUAUUCCCCUGGGCACCUUGUUACCAUUUACCCAGAACAGAGCUAAGUUUAGAUGGGUGAAAUAGAAAUCAUCUGUAGUUUAUCAGUCUAGAAUGUAAAAACCAUGAUUAAAAGUCUUUAGACUGGCAACACGACAUAAGCUGCCCAUGUGAUUAAAAUUUGAAAUCCCUUCUAUAUACUUUAAUUUGUAGUCUUAAUGGAAAUGUACUUUUCCAUUCCAUCAGGUCCUACUCAUUUCUGUUGGCCUGGGCCACCAGAUUAUGAUGUUGCCAGAACUUGCUAAAUUUGAAGGUGAACAGUCUUCAUUUUGUUGCUUCCACAAGUAUAUCAGUAAUCUAAAACAUUGCUUCCAAAUAGAACUGUUUAUUUCUACAGCCUCCCGCCCUCUCCUUGUAUGAUCUUGGUUUUAUUUUCAUUUGCUUUUCCUUUUCCAUACAUACUAUGAAGCAUAAUUUUAUUCAUUGAAAACCCAAUCCAUAUUUUGUUUCAAAAUAUUUGAAACAAAAAGCACAGGUGUUGAACUUUUAUUAGAACAUAUGAAUGUGUAAAGCACAUGUAUUAAUGCAGCCCUCCCCUUUCAGGUGGGAAGAGAGUAAACCAAUCGCUUUAUUUUUUUAUUCAUCCUUAGUACAGAGAGAAUAUACCUUUCCUAGAAUCAUAUACCUUUUUGAAGCUUUAAGAGAAAUGUUUUCAAUAACUAUUUUGUUUUCCCAAAGAUGCUUGCUAUUUUUGUGUAACUGUGUGCACCUCCUUUUCCCAUGGAACCUUUUUUUUUUUUUUUUUGAGAAGCAAAUGUUUUCUUAAAUGAUGCAUGUUUUAAGACUUGAUUCAAAAUGCCACUGUGCUGUCCUUGAAUUGCCAAUGAUUCUUACAAAUAUCUAGUUUUUACUACUUUUAUAUAUUUUACUUUCAAAAUGAAGAGCUGAGCCUGAUAUAAAGGGUUGUUCUGGUUUUGUACUUUUAGUUUGUUUUCAUAGUAGAGUUUUGGGGUUUGGGUUUUGUUUGUUUUUUUUACUACAUUUAUAUGUCUGAUAUAUAUAUAUACAGCUUUGGAGACAAUCAAGUAACAACUGAAAAUGUGAAAAGUAACCAUUUUUUACAAAAAUGUCCUCGAAUUUUUAUUCUUUGCUUGAAAUAUGUAAAAGACUUAAGUCACUGUGGUUUAUUGGUUUAAAUUUUUUUCCUAUUAAUACAAUUAUAAAAAUAGAAUCAGACAGUGGUGCAGCAAGUGUGGCCAUUACAUGUUUUGUAAAAUUACACUGACUUCGCUGUUACUUGAUCUUAGGAACCAGCACAGUUAGAGGUAAGAUAUUGUGAAUGCUGACUUAUAUUUUAUUAAAAGCUGUAAAUCUAAAUAGAUCCUAUUGUAUGCAGGGUCUGGUCCAGUUAUUUAAGUUCAUGUUUCACUAUUUGCACUUUGCAUUGAACAAUGGGUUUAGUUUGCUGACGAAAUGGUUCGAGUAGAGGAUUUAUACAGUAAUUGAAAUUAUGACGUUGUGUAUGUACUUGCCCUUCCUCCCACAGCAGGGAGCAGAAAGUGAGCUCAUCUAAAUAUGAAUGCAGCUCUAAUUGUAUGGAAAGUGGUAAAGCUUUCAGGUACUUGCCUUGACUCCACAUUGUCACCUGGAGAGCAGGAUGGCUAUAAAAGCACCAUGUCAGGUGAUAUGAUUAAAAAGAACUAACAGAUUAUGCUCUCCAGACCUUUUUAAGAGAAAUUAAUGAAGAACAAAUUAUCUAUUUGCUUUGCCUUUCAGUUCUGAACUUGAAGUCCCUAAACUGCAAAAUCUGAAGAGUUGGAUGGUUAUUAAAGUACUUUUUAGGUCAUUUAGUCACACCAACUUGUGGCUAGUCUCUUCAUCUCUCUCUCUCCUUUUUUUUUUUUGACACUGGGAAGGGUGGAAACAAAACAUGUAUUGAAAUACAUAUUGGAAACAAAAAUGGCUUAAGUGUCAGUGAAAUUCUCCCAGAAUGUACUUUUCUUACCUCGGCAUGUACUGUAGUCACUCAGUAUUUGUAUAUGUUGCUAGAAUUUAGAUUGUAUAAAUAGUGAGAUUUUAAUGUGUUCAUGUGUUUUUAAUAAAUUGUAUAUAUGUGUCUUGCUCA